UUAAUUGAAACCAAAAUAGAGGUAUAUCACUGUUAAUGAUAAAACUGAGAAAAUUCUCCAAUUAAG
rnacentral:tRNA from 3 species